rnacentral:rRNA from 1 species
AAUCAACGCUGGCGGCGUGCCUAACACAUGCAAGUCGAACGCGAGAGGGGCUUCGGCCCCGAUUGAGUGGCGAACGGGUGAGUAACGCGUGGGUGACCUACCUUCGAGUGGGGGAUAACGUCCCGAAAGGGACGCUAAUACCGCAUAACAUCCUGCUUUUGAAUGGGUGGAGAUCAAAGCCGGGGAUCGCAAGACCUGGCGCUUGAUGAGGGGCCCGCGUCUGAUUAGCUAGUGGUGAGGUAACGGCCCACCAAGGCAACGAUCAGUAUCCGGCCUGAGAGGGCGGGCGGACACACUGGGACUGAGACACGGCCCAGACUCCUACGGGAGGCAGCAGUGGGGAAUUGUUCGCAAUGGGCGCAAGCCUGACGACGCAACGCCGCGUGGAGGAUGAAGGUCUUCGGAUUGUAAACUCCUGUUGCCCGGGACGAAUGGCUCCGACCUAACACGUCGGAGUGUGGACGGUACCGGGU